GAUGAACGCUGGCGGCGUGCCUAAUACAUGCAAGUCGAGCGAACAGACGAGGAGCUUGCUCCUCUGACGUUAGCGGCGGACGGGUGAGUAACACGUGGAUAACCUACCUAUAAGACUGGGAUAACUUCGGGAAACCGGAGCUAAUACCGGAUAAUAUAUUGAACCGCAUGGUUCAAUAGUGAAAGACGGUUUUGCUGUCACUUAUAGAUGGAUCCGCGCCGCAUUAGCUAGUUGGUAAGGUAACGGCUUACCAAGGCAACGAUGCGUAGCCGACCUGAGAGGGGGGUCGGCCACACUGGAGAUGAGACACGGACGAGACCAACACGGGAGGCAGGAGGAGGGAUUUUUGCGGAAGGGGGGAAAGCCGUAAGGCUCAACGGCGCGGGAGGAAGAAAGGUCUUCGGAUCGUAAAACUUUUUUAUUAGGGAAGAAAAAAUGGGAAAGUAAAUAUGCAGGUUUGGACGGGACCUAAUCAAAAAGCCACGGCAAACUACGU
rnacentral:rRNA from 1 species